CUCUUGCUUAAAGGAGCACUAUAGGCUCAGGAACACAAUCAUGUAUAUCUGACCCUAUUAUGUUAAAACCACCACCCUGGCCCCUUCUUGCCCCACUAAGUAUAGUAACUGCUGGCUCUGCCUCUGACUUGACUGUCUCUGCCUCUGACUUGACUGUCUGCUGACAUCAUCAGAAGUGGUGGUCUGAGCAAAUUACAAUACUUCCUCAUAGGAUUGGCUGAGACUGUCAACUAGGC